UCCUCCAUGGCGCAAUUGGCUAGCGCGUUCGACUGUUAAUCGAGAGGUUGGUGGUUCAAGCCCACCUGGAGGAG